GACGAACGCUGGCGGCGUGCUUAACACAUGCAAGUCGAACGAUGAACUCCAGCUUGCUGGGGGGAUUAGUGGCGAACGGGUGGGUAACACGUGAGUAACCUGCCCUUGACUCUGGGAUAAGCGCUGGAAACGGCGUCUAAUACCGGAUACGAGCUUCAGCCGCAUGGCUAGGAGUUGGAAAGAAUUUUGGUCAAGGAUGGACUCGCGGCCUAUCAGCUAGUUGGUGAGGUAAUGGCUCACCAAGGCGACGACGGGUAGCCGGCCUGAGAGGGUGACCGGCCACACUGGGACUGAGACACGGCCCAGACUCCUACGGGAGGCAGCAGUGGGGAAUAUUGCACAAUGGGCGAAAGCCUGAUGCAGCAACGCCGCGUGAGGGACGACGGCCUUCGGGUUGUAAACCUCUUUUAGUAGGGAAGAAGCGAAAGUGACGGUACCUGCAGAAAAAGCACCGGCUAACUACGUGCCAGCAACCGCGGUAAUACGUAGGGUGCAAGCGUUGUCCGGAAUUAUUGGGCGUAAAGAGCUCGUAGGCGGUUUGUCGCGUCUGCUGUGAAAUCUGGGGGCUCAACCCCCAGCCUGCAGUGGGUACGGGCAGACUAGAGUGCGGUAGGGGAGAUUGGAAUCCCUGGUGUAGCGGUGGAAUGCGCAGAUAUCAGGAGGAACACCGAUGGCGAAGGCAGAUCUCUGGGCCGUAACUGACGCUGAGGAGCGAAAGCAUGGGGAGCGAACAGGAUUAGAUACCCUGGUAGUCCAUGCCGUAAACGUUGGGAACUAGAUGUGGGGACCAUUCCACGGUCUCCGUGUCGCAGCUAACGCAUUAAGUUCCCCGCCUGGGGAGUACGGCCGCAAGGCUAAAACUCAAAGGAAUUGACGGGGGCCCGCACAAGCGGCGGAGCAUGCGGAUUAAUUCGAUGCAACGCGAAGAACCUUACCAAGGCUUGACAUAUACCGGAAACGGCCAGAGAUGGUCGCCCCGCAAGGUCGGUAUACAGGUGGUGCAUGGUUGUCGUCAGCUCGUGUCGUGAGAUGUUGGGUUAAGUCCCGCAACGAGCGCAACCCUCGUUCUAUGUUGCCAGCACGUUAUGGUGGGAACUCAUAGGAGACUGCCGGGGUCAACUCGGAGGAAGGUGGGGAUGACGUCAAAUCAUCAUGCCCCUUAUGUCUUGGGCUUCACGCAUGCUACAAUGGCCGGUACAAAGGGCUGCGGUACCGUAAGGUGGAGCGAAUCCCAAAAGCCGGUCUCAGUUCGGAUUGAGGUCUGCAACUCGACCUCAUGAAGUCGGAGUCGCUAGUAAUCGCAGAUCAGCAACGCUGCGGUGAAUACGUUCCCGGGCCU
rnacentral:rRNA from 1 species